rnacentral:rRNA from 1 species
UGCAAGUCGAACGGUAACAGGAAGCAGCUUGCUGCUUCGCUGACGAGUGGCGGACGGGUGAGUAAUGUCUGGGAAACUGCCUGAUGGAGGGGGAUAACUACUGGAAACGGUGGCUAAUACCGCAUAACGUCGCAAGACCAAAGAGGGGGACCUUCGGGCCUCUUGCCAUCAGAUGUGCCCAGAUGGGAUUAGCUUGUUGGUGAGGUAACGGCUCACCAAGGCGACGAUCCCUAGCUGGUCUGAGAGGAUGACCAGCCACACUGGAACUGAGACACGGUCCAGACUCCUACGGGAGGCAGCAGUGGGGAAUAUUGCACAAUGGGCGCAAGCCUGAUGCAGCCAUGCCGCGUGUAUGAAGAAGGCCUUCGGGUUGUAAAGUACUUUCAGCGGGGAGGAAGGUGUUGUGGUUAAUAACCGCAGCAAUUGACGUUACCCGCAGAAGAAGCACCGGCUAACUCCGUGCCAGCAGCCGCGGUAAUACGGAGGGUGCAAGCGUUAAUCGGAAUUACUGGGCGUAAAGCGCACGCAGGCGGUCUGUCAAGUCGGAUGUGAAAUCCCCGGGCUCAACCUGGGAACUGCAUUCGAAACUGGCAGGCUUGAGUCUUGUAGAGGGGGGUAGAAUUCCAGGUGUAGCGGUGAAAUGCGUAGAGAUCUGGAGGAAUACCGGUGGCGAAGGCGGCCCCCUGGACAAAGACUGACGCUCAGGUGCGAAAGCGUGGGGAGCAAACAGGAUUAGAUACCCUGGUAGUCCACGCCGUAAACGAUGUCUACUUGGAGGUUGUGCCCUUGAGGCGUGGCUUCCGGAGCUAACGCGUUAAGUAGACCGCCUGGGGAGUACGGCCGCAAGGUUAAAACUCAAAUGAAUUGACGGGGGCCCGCACAAGCGGUGGAGCAUGUGGUUUAAUUCGAUGCAACGCGAAGAACCUUACCUGGUCUUGACAUCCACAGAACUUUCCAGAGAUGGAUUGGUGCCUUCGGGAACUGUGAGACAGGUGCUGCAUGGCUGUCGUCAGCUCGUGUUGUGAAAUGUUGGGUUAAGUCCCGCAACGAGCGCAACCCUUAUCCUUUGUUGCCAGCGGUCCGGCCGGGAACUCAAAGGAGACUGCCAGUGAUAAACUGGAGGAAGGUGGGGAUGACGUCAAGUCAUCAUGGCCCUUACGACCAGGGCUACACACGUGCUACAAUGGCGCAUACAAAGAGAAGCGACCUCGCGAGAGCAAGCGGACCUCAUAAAGUGCGUCGUAGUCCGGAUUGGAGUCUGCAACUCGACUCCAUGAAGUCGGAAUCGCUAGUAAUCGUGGAUCAGAAUGCCACGGUGAAUACGUUCCCGGGCCUUGUACACACCGCCCGUCACACCAUGGGAGUGGGUUGCAAAAGAAGUAGGUAGCUUAACCUUCGGGAGGGCGCUUACCACUUUGUGAUUCAUGACUGGGGUGAAGUCGUAACAAGGUAACCGUAGGGGAACCUGC